rnacentral:rRNA from 1 species
ACUUCGGUCUGGUGGCGAGUGGCGAACGGGUGAGUAAUAUAUCGGAACGUGCCCAGUCGUGGGGGAUAACGUAGUGAAAAUUACGCUAAUACCGCAUACGAUCUAAGGAUGAAAGCGGGGGAUCGCAAGACCUCGCGCGAUUGGAGCGGCCGAUAUCAGAUUAGGUAGUUGGUGAGGUAAAGGCUCACCAAGCCAACGAUCUGUAGCUGGUCUGAGAGGACGACCAGCCACACUGGAACUGAGACACGGUCCAGACUCCUACGGGAGGCAGCAGUGGGGAAUUUUGGACAAUGGACGCAAGUCUGAUCCAGCCAUUCCGCGUGCAGGACGAAGGCCUUCGGGUUGUAAACUGCUUUUGUACAGAACGAAAAGGUCUCUAUUAAUACUAGGGGCUCAUGACGGUACUGUAAGAAUAAGCACCGGCUAACUACGUGCCAGCAGCCGCGGUAAUACGUAGGGUGCAAGCGUUAAUCGGAAUUACUGGGCGUAAAGCGUGCGCAGGCGGUUAUAUAAGACAGAUGUGAAAUCCCCGGGCUCAACCUGGGAACUGCAUUUGUGACUGUAUAGCUGGAGUGCGGCAGAGGGGGAUGGAAUUCCGCGUGUAGCAGUGAAAUGCGUAGAUAUGCGGAGGAACACCGAUGGCGAAGGCAAUCCCCUGGGCCUGCACUGACGCUCAUGCACGAAAGCGUGGGGAGCAAAC